rnacentral:lncRNA from 1 species
CUUUGUUUUCUCAUUUUUACUUGUCAUGAUGUAUGUCGAACACAUUAUUUUUAGUGUCUGGUGUUCCAUUAUACAGAUGUCUCUCUUGUUGGUUGAAUUUUUGCAUUCACAGACCCUCAAGUUGGAUUCAUAUCUUUUUACACUAAGCAUAAAGAAGACGGAUUGGGGUCGGGUAUGGUGGCUCACGCCUGUAAUCCCAGCACUUCGGGAGGCUGAGGUGGGCGGAUCACGAGGUCAGGAGUUCGAGACCAGCCUGGCCAACAUACUGAAACCCCGUCUCUAAAAAUAUGAAAAAAAAAUUAGCCAGGCGUGGUGGUGCGCAGCUGUAGCCCCAGCUACUUGGGAGGCUGAGGCAGGAGAAUCACUUGAACCCAGGAGGUGGAGGUUGCAGUGAGCAUAUUGCACCAUUGCAUUCCAGCCUGCACGACAGAGGAAGACGCCAUUUCAAAAAAAAAAAAAAAAAGACGGAUUGAUUUUCUUCAGCAGUAUCAAGUGGCACUUACCAUCCACCCCUUUAACACCCAAACCAUUCUAAUCCAUGUAUACAGACCAUCAUCUGUUUCGUUAUUGUGUUCUAUAAUGCAGCUUUGCGAGUUAUGCAGUUUUGGUCCUCAUGAUAUUUUUCUGAUUGGUUUUUAAUGUAUUUUGUUCUAACGAGCCAACAUUGUUAUACAUGUAAUUUGUUUAUUUGCUAGAUUGUACUCUUUCCCAAAGAUGGGCUAUGAACUAGCAUCUACUUUCAUUUUACCUAUUUACCUGUAAACAUUGAAAAAACUGAAUCAAAUGCAGUGAUAUCGGACCUAGUUUUAUUGUUAUGCCUUAUAAUGAAUUUAACUUCACAGUUUUCUAAAUGAGAGCAUUUCCCAAAGACAUCUUUAUGGUCAUAACCAGUUUCCCUUGGCAUUUGAUUUAUUUUUAUUUUUAUUUAUUUAUCUUUUUGAGAAGGAGUUUCGCUCUUGUUGCCCAGGCUAGAGUGCAAUGGCGUGAUCUCGGGUCACUGCAACCUCUGCCUCCCGGGUUCAAGCGAUUCUCCUGCCUCAGCCUCCAAGUAGCUGGGAUUACAGGCAUGCACCACCACGCCCGACUAAUUUGUAUUUUUAGAGACGGGGUUUCUCCGUGUUGGUCAGGCUGGUCUCAAACUUCCAACCUCAGGUGAUCCGCCCGCCGUGGCCUCCCAAAGUGUUGGGAUUACAGGCGUGAGCCACAGUGUCUGGCCUGAUUUGUUUUUAAGAGCAUUAUUUUUCUGCUUUAUUUUGUGACUUCAACAUUUGACACAAUUUUGGGUGAAUGGUUUGUGCAUGGUGCCUGACAUCGUGUUUUGAUGUGUAGUAUAUGCCAUAGGACAUGUGAGACAAGAUAUGUCCCAACUUGACCUUGUUUUGUAUUGUUUAUGUCAAGGUGUUGAGUGUAUUAGAUAUACUGUUGGGGCUCUGUGUUCUAGCUCUGCCUUUUAGAUAAUAACCAUGGUUAAAUAUUGCAAUGUCCUGCAUGUCUCCACACAUGGGUUUUGUAACUGAGUCAGAAUGAUAAGUGAUUAGUAAGCACAUUUUUUCUCCUUUCAGGAAACCACUAUUUUCCUUUUCUACAUGCUGUUUUGUAAGUAGUACUUUUAUGAAGGUUGUCUUCAAAUGUUCGCAUCUUCCAUUUCUACUGCCCUUGGGUUAUCCAUCCUGUCAUUUUGUGCCAAUCACUUUUUUUUUUAACUUUUAAGUUCAGGGAUGAAAGUGUAGAUUUGUUACAUAGGUAAACUUGUGUCAUGGGGUUGUUGUACAGAUUAUUUCAUCACCCAGGUGUUAAGCCUAGUAUGCACUAGUUGUUUUUCCUGAUCCUCUCCCUGCUCCCACCCUCCACCCUCUGAUAGGCCCCAGUGUGUGUUGUUCCCCUCUGUGUGUCCAUGUGUUCUCAUCAUUUAGCUCCCACUUACAAGUGAGAAUGUGGUGUUUGGUUUUCUGUUCCUGCAUUAGUUUGCUAAGGAUAAUGGCCUCGAGCUCCAUCCAAGUCCCUGUAAAGGACAUGAUCUUGUACUUUUUUAUGGCUGCAUAGUAUUCUGUGGUGUAUAUGUACCACAUUUUCUUUAUCCAGUCUAUCAUUAGGCAUUUAGGUUGAUUCCAUGUUUUUGCUAUUGUGAAUAGUGCUGCAAUGAACAUACAUGUGCAUGUCUUUUUAUAAUAGAAUGAUUUAUAUUCUGUUGUGUAUAUACCCAGUAAUGGGAUUGCUGAGUUGAAUGCUAUUUCUGCCUUUAGGUCUUUGAUGAAUUGCCACACUGUCUUCCACAAUGGUUGAACUAAUUUACACUCCCACCAACGGUGAAUAAGUGUUCACUUUUCUCCACAACCUUGUCAGCAUCUAUUAUUUUUUGACUUUUUAGUAAUAGCCAUUCUGACUGCUCACAUCUAUUUUGUAAAUAAAGUUUUAUUGAAACAUGGCCUUACCCAUUUGUUUACAUAUAUUCAUGGCUGUUUUUGUGCCACAAUGUCAGAGUUGUCUUAAAGUAGACAGAGACUAUCUGGCUGUAAAGCCUGAGAUAUAUACUAACUGGUUCUUUAUGUAAAAAGUUUGCUGACCACCUACUCUAAACGUUUUGCAGUGAUGGUAGUGUUGGCAAAAAACCAAAUAGCUUACCCUCUUUAAAUUUCCCUUUUACUUCUUACAAACUCCUAACACCAUUUACGACUUUGUCAUCAAUAUGGUCAACUAAGCUUGGUUUGCAUGGCUCUACUUCCUUUCACCUUCCACUUAGGCAGUGUCUCCAAGUCCACUGCAGUUUCUAUUUGUCUCCUGACUGUUACUGUAUCAGUUCUUACCUAAAUAACAUAACAACUGAUCUCCCUACUUUUUGCCUAUGCCCUCAAAUGUGCUCAUUGUUGAUCUAUCUCCCUGUUAGGUGUUCUUUUUCUCCUCUUUAGAAAGCAGCCAAGGAAACCAGGGUUCUCUCAAAGUGGAAAAUACUGGAACUUAUGUACUGUUAUCAUAAUGAUAGUUGGUGUUUUGAAUUAUAAGAAUGAUUCCAGGUGGUUUCUAAAUCAUCCAAUAAAGCUGUAUUCACUCUGU